GAUGAACGCUGGCGGCGUGCUUAACACAUGCAAGUCGAACGGAAAGGCCCAAGCUUGCUUGGGUACUCGAUUGGCGAACGGGUGAGUAACACGUGGGGGAACUGCCCUUCACUUCGUGAUAAGCCUGGGGAACUGGGUCUAAUACCGGAUAGGACCACAUUAUGGAUGGGGUGGUGUAAAGUUUUUCGGUGUGGGAUGAGCUCGCGGCGUAUCAGCUUGUUGGUUGGGUAAUGGCCUACCAAGGCGUCGACGGGUAGCAGGCCUGAGAGGGUGUACGGCGACACUGAGACUGAGAGAAGGCAGAGAUAGGUACGGGAGGGAGAAGUGGGAAAGACUGCAGAAUCGGCGCCAGGCGGAUGAUGAGACGCUGCGUGUGGGAUGACGGUCUUAGGGUUGAAAAACAAUUUCGUAAGGGACGAAGCGCUAUGUGACGGUACCUGGAGAAGAAGCACCGGCUAACUACGUG
rnacentral:rRNA from 1 species